GGUUAAGCUCGAGUAAUUUCCCAUUUUGAAACCGUUAUACAUUGCCUUGAGUUUCACGAAUUACAUGUAGUUCACUCACAAACAAAAUCUAACUCCAUACAGUUGACCUCUUUAAGCUAACAUAAUACCCUAAUAUAAAAAUAAUAAUUAUUUGAUAAGAAUAAGUAUAAAUUUGUUACAUUGCUUGAGAAUAUUUAAAAAAAACC
rnacentral:lncRNA from 1 species